GCGAAUGCUGACAUAAGUAACGAUAAAGCGGGUGAAAAGCCCGCUCGCCGGAAGACCAAGGGUUCCUGUCCAACGUUAAUCGGGGCAGGGUGAGUCGACCCCUAAGGCGAGGCCGAAAGGCGUAGUCGAUGGGAAACAGGUUAAUAUUCCUGUACUUGGUGUUACUGCGAAGGGGGGACGGAGAAGGCUAUGUUGGCCGGGCGACGGUUGUCCCGGUUUAAGCGUGUAGGCUGGU
rnacentral:rRNA from 1 species